rnacentral:rRNA from 1 species
GACAGAGGAUGCAAGCGUUAUCCGGAAUGAUUGGGCGUAAAGCGUGCGCAGGCGGUGAUGUAAGACCGAUGUGAAAGUCCCCGGGCUUAACCUGGGAACUGCAUUGGUGACUGCAUUGCUGGAGGUAUGGCAGAGGGGGGGUGGAAUUCCACGUGGUAGCAGUGAAAUGCGUAGAGAUGUGGAGGAACACCGAUGGACGAAGGCAGCCCCCUGGGCCAAUACUGACGCUCAUGCACGAAAGCGUGGGGAGCAAACAGG